UACUAAAGUCCCUCUAUCCCCAAAAAAGCCUAUUUGACUCCCAUUUAACCUAUCCCCUUUUUUCGUUAGCGGUUCGAAAUUCCUUUAUCU
rnacentral:tRNA from 1 species